rnacentral:rRNA from 1 species
CUACGGGGGCAGCAGUGGGGAAUAUUGGACAAUGGGCGAAAGCCUGAUCCAGCCAUGCCGCGUGUGUGAAGAAGGCCUUCGGGUUGUAAAGCACUUUCAGUGGGGAAGAAAGCCUUGGGGCUAAUACCCUCGAGGAAGGACAUCACCCACAGAAGAAGCACCGGCUAACUCCGUGCCAGCAGCCGCGGUAAUACGGAGGGUGCGAGCGUUAAUCGGAAUUACUGGGCGUAAAGCGCGCGUAGGCGGUCUGAUAAGCCGGUUGUGAAAGCCCCGGGCUCAACCUGGGAACGGCAUCCGGAACUGUCAGGCUAGAGUGCAGGAGAGGAAGGUAGAAUUCCCGGUGUAGCGGUGAAAUGCGUAGAGAUCGGGAGGAAUACCAGUGGCGAAGGCGGCCUUCUGGACUGACACUGACGCUGAGGUGCGAAAGCGUGGGUAGCAAACAGGAUUAGAUACCCGUGUAGUC